ACCCGCUGAACUUAAGCAUAUCAAUAAGCGGAGGAAAAGAAACUAACAAGGAUUCCCCUAGUAACUGCGAGUGAAGCGGGAAAAGCUCAAAUUUAAAAUCUGGUGGUUCUUGCAGCCAUCCGAAUUGUAAUUUAGAGAAGUGUUAUCCGCGCUGGACCGUGUAUAAGUCUCCUGGAAUGGAGCGUCAUAGAGGGUGAGAAUCCCGUCUUUGACACGGACUACCAGGGCUUUGUGAUGCGCUCUCGAAGAGUCGAGUUGUUUGGGAAUGCAGCUCAAAAUGGGUGGUAAAUUCCAUCUAAAGCUAAAUAUUGGCGAGAGACCGAUAGCGAACAAGUACCGUGAGGGAAAGAUGAAAAGAACUUUGGAAAGAGAGUUAAACAGUACGUGAAAUUGUUGAAAGGGAAACGCUUGAAGUCAGUCGCGUUGUCUGGGGAUCAACCUUGCUCUUUUGCUUGGUGUACUUCCUAGUCGACGGGUCAACAUCAGUUUUGACUGUUGGAAAAAGAUUAGAGGAAUGUGGCAUCUUCGGAUGUGUUAUAGCCUUUGGUUGUAUACAGCAGUUGGGACUGAGGAACUCAGCACGCCGCAAGGCCGGGAUUUAUCCACGUUCGUGCUUAGGAUGUUGGCAUAAUGGCUUUAAUCGACCCGUCUUGAAACACGG
rnacentral:rRNA from 1 species